CCUACGGGUGGCAGCAGUGGGGAAUAUUGCGCAAUGGGCGAAAGCCUGACGCAGCGACGCCGCGUGAGGGAUGAAGGUCUUCGGAUCGUAAACCUCUGUCAGCAGGGAAGAACGGUCACUGUACUAAUCAGCAGUGAAUUGACGGUACCUGCAAAGGAAGCACCGGCUAACUCCGUGCCAGCAGCCGCGGUAAUACGGGGGGUGCGAGCGUUAAUCGGAAUUACUGGGCGAAAAGCGCUCGUAGGCGGUAUGUCAAGUCAAGGGGGAAAUCCCCGCGCUCAACGUGGGAACUGCCUUUGAAACUGGCAAACUGGAGUGUGUGAGAGGAUAGUGGAAUUCCAGGUGUAGGAGUGAAAUCCGUAGAUAUCUGGAGGAACAUCAGUGGCGAAGGCGACUAUCUGGCACAUAACUGACGCUGAGGAGCGAAAGCGUGGGUAGCAAACAGGAUUAGAUCCCCUGUAGUC
rnacentral:rRNA from 1 species